GGGCUCGUAGCUCAGUCUGGCAGAGCACCGGCCUUUUAAGCCGGUAGUCGCGGGUUCAAAUCCCGUCGAGCCCA
rnacentral:tRNA from 1 species